AAAUCUAAUUUCAGUACAAUUCCAAAAAAGAUGGUUAAUUGCUUUUGGAUGUUCUUUGCAAAAGGGACAAAUCAAUUUUUUAAUGUAUCUUAGCAUGAAUUGAUUAGUGGGGUACAUUUUGUGAGUGAUUUUAAAAGAAACUUCUUUCAUUUUUUAUUUUAUUUAUCAUAGAUUUUUGGGUCACACUCCAGCCCUUUCUCCAAAUGCUGCCGGGAACAAAACGUCUUCAGUAGUUUCGAAGCCGCAAAACAACACGAGGAGAACGGACGGCCGUGACGUGUUACCCGAGCUCCAGUAAAGUGAAAUUUGAUUGGUCACGUUCUGCAACGCGACCAAUCAGCUGUCGAGUUACAGCGCUCCGCGCCGCCAUGACGCAAUCUGUUUGAAAACAAUGGCGGCACGGAGCGUUAGGUCCGAAGAUGAAGACGGAAAAGAAGAAUAAAAGUUGAUCGUAGGAGACAUGGACACCCUCUAGUAAGCGAGGCCGACCGCGUCCUCACAACGAUAAGACCUCAGAGGAUCCGGGAGUUGGCGGCAGUGACCCGGCCGAGCCGAUAAGUUCAGGAAAAGAGUCUUCAUCUGAAGCGAUUGAAACAUAAUCACAGAGGCUGGACGAAAAAACCAAGAAGAAGUUACAAGAACACCGGAUACGACACCCCCCCCCCCCCCCCCCGAAGUUUCCAUUCUUGUCCAUCACAAACACAAGAACCUCGGAGAGCAGCUCCAGUGGAAGGUCGGGGCAGAUGACAACUUCAGAACACCACACAAUGAGGAGAUGACGGCAGCAGUGAAAGAUGUGGAACCAAGUUGGAGUUUCCACCAAGUUAGAAGUAAGCACCAACAUGAAGUUGGAUUUACACAACUCGCCAUAAGUUAGAGAUAAUGUGAGAGACUCAAUGUCAAUAAUCAGUGUUACUUUCUUUUCAGAGAUUUUUUGAAUAGGAUUGCAAUUGUAUUAGUGUGAUAGACAGCUCAUUUAGUGUUUCCAUGUCUUAGGACCAAACACUAAGUUACAAUAACGAUAUAGCAUUGACGAUGGAUAUUUAAGAUAAGCCUCUGUGACAGUCUGCAUGGCACAUUUUGAAUAUUCCACUUUGGAAACAUGUUUGCAAUAUGUUGACCUCAUCUUCUGUACAUUUCAUAUUUCCAUCGACUAGGAGCUUGCAAUCGAGCUAUUGACAGUCUCAAAUACAAAGAGAGAGAAUGGAGAUAGAAGCAAGGAGGAGGUCAAAAGGAGGACGAGUCAGCACGAUCAGCUCUUCAAAAAGAGGGUCAGAAUUGCUGAGAAGAUUCUCAAUCAAUCAAUCAAAUCUUUAUUUGUAUAGCACUUUCACAUCUUCCAGACAUCCAAAGUGCUGCACACGUAUAACUACACUAAAACCAUAGGUAAAAUUCAAAGAAACACAGUAAAAUGAUAAUAAAAUCAUCAAUAAAAGAAAACAAACAAAAAAAAAACUGUCUAAUUAUCAUUCUCUCUGGUGUUAAAAGCCAAUGUAAAAAGAUGAGUUUUUAGCAGAGAUUUAAAAUCGUUUAAGGAUCUGGCAGAUCUCAUAGACAGGGGGAGACGAUUCCAGAGUUUGGGAGCAACCACUGAAAAUGCUCUGUCCCCCUUGGUCACCAGUCGAGUCCUUGGAACCUCUGGUCUGGUCUACAGAUCGCAGAGCUCUACGAGGACAAUGGCUCUGCAGGAGCUCAGAAAGAUAAGGAGGUGCCAGACCAUUUAAACAUUUAAAAACCAAGAGUAAGAUUUUAAAAUCAAUUCUAAAAGAAACAGGCAGCCAGUGCAGAGAGCGCAGUAUUGGCAAUCAAGAGGAUCUGUCAUAUAUAAAAAGAGCCAAUGCAAACUAUGUCAGCGACGAGGAAAGUGGCGAGGACAAACCAUCUUAUUAUCAAGCCUCGCCAAAGUGGCGCUCCACUAGGCUAACCAUGGUGAUGCUGAAAUGCCAUAAAGCCUGGGAUGAAAACUGGAGGAGUGGAAUUGAGCCAAAAUUACGCACGAGACACUCAGCUGGCUUUACUGAAGGAAACCCACCACCAGUCAAGAGCUGCUAUCUGGCAGAAGAGAAAAAAAGGAUGCAUGUUUGUUUGUGGUUUUUGAUUUAUUUAUUUAUUUUGUAAUAAAAUAUUUUUGAGUAAUACCGGUUUUCUGUCACCUUUUAUUUCUUAUGUAUUUUUGAUAUGACUGGUAUCUUGAAAUAUCCUGACUUACAUCACUAGUGUUUGUUCUUCAGAUAUGUCUGCUGGCCAUAUGUUCCAAAUCCUAACUUCAGAUAUGACUGGUAUACAGACAUCAGAUAUCAACAGAUAUGACAUGGAUAGAAUCUGGAAAUAUCCUGACUUUGGAUAUCACUAGUGACGCAUCUCAUAUCUGGAGAGAAUCUCAUCUCCAGAUUCUAUCAGAAUAAAAGUGUCCCAUACUCUGAGUUGAUAUGCUCAGGACAUGAACUUAGAAACAGUCAUGUCCGGAGAGUAUCCACCGUAGAUAUCACCAGAUAUGGGGUAUUUCUGAGGAUAUCCAGACAAAUAUAUCUCCUGAUUCUGGGGGCUUUUUCGCAGUGUUCGUUCUAAAAAU